rnacentral:rRNA from 1 species
CGCUUACGGGGCGCAGCAGUGGGGAAUAUUGCACAAUGGGCGAAAGCCUGAUGCAGCAACGCCGCGUGAAGGAAGACGGUUUUCGGAUUGUAAACUUCUAUCAAUAGGGAAGAAAGAAAUGACGGUACCUAAAUAAGAAGCCCCGGCUAACUACGUGCCAGCAGCCGCGGUAAUACGUGGGGGGCAAGCGUUAUCCGGAAUUACUGGGUGUAAAGGGAGAGUAGGCGGCAAGGUAAGCGAUAUGUGAAAGCCUUAAGCUUAACUUAAGGAUUGCAUAACGAACUAUCGAGCUAGCGUACAGGAGG